rnacentral:rRNA from 1 species
UACGUAGGGUGCGAGCGUUGUCCGGAAUUAUUGGGCGUAAAGAGCUUGUAGGCGGUUUGUCGCGUCUGCCGUGAAAUUUCGAGGCUCAACCUCGAACUUGCGGUGGGUACGGGCAGACUAGAGUGUGGUAGGGGAGACUGGAAUUCCUGGUGUAGCGGUGAAAUGCGCAGAUAUCAGGAGGAACACCGAUGGCGAAGGCAGGUCUCUGGGCCGUAACUGACGCUGAGGAGCGAAAGCAUGGGGAGCGAACAGG